AAAUUGAAGAGUUUGAUCAUGGCUCAGAUUGAACGCUGGCGGCAGGCCUAACACAUGCAAGUCGAGCGGAAACGGCAGYAUUGAARCUUCGGUGGAUUUGCUGGACGUCGAGCGGCGGACGGGUGAGUAACGGCUGGGAACCUGCCCUGACGMGGGGGAUAACCGUUGGAAACGACGGCUAAUACCGCAUAAUGUCUYAGUUCAUUACGAGCUGGGACCAAAGGUGGCCUCUACAUGUAAGCUAUCGCGUUGGGAUGGGCCCAGUUAGGAUUAGCUAGUUGGUAAGGUAAUGGCUUACCAAGGCRACGAUCCUUAGCUGGUUUGAGAGGAUGAUCAGCCACACUGGGACUGAGACACGGCCCAGACUCCUACGGGAGGCAGCAGUGGGGAAUAUUGCACAAUGGGGGAGACCCUGAUGCAGCCAUGCCGCGUGUGUGAAGAAGGCCUUCGGGUUGUAAAGCACUUUCAGCAGUGAGGAAGGUGRUGUACUUAAUAMGUGCAYGGCUUGACGUUAGCUGCAGAAGAAGCACCGGCUAACUCCGUGCCAGCAGCCGCGGUAAUACGGAGGGUGCGAGCGUUAAUCGGAAUUACUGGGCGUAAAGCGCAUGCAGGCGGUUUGUUAAGUCAGAUGUGAAAGCCCGGGGCUCAACCUCGGAACCGCAUUUGAAAC
rnacentral:rRNA from 1 species